rnacentral:rRNA from 1 species
UGGGGAAUAUUGCACAAUGGGCGAAAGCCUGAUGCAGCAACGCCGCGUGAGUGAUGAAGGCCUUCGGGUUGUAAAGCUCUGUCUUUUGGGACGAUAAUGACGGUACCAAAGGAGGAAGCCACGGCUAACUACGUGCCAGCAGCCGCGGUAAUACGUAGGUGGCAAGCGUUGUCCGGAUUUACUGGGCGUAAAGGAUGCGUAGGCGGAUUUUUAAGUGAGAUGUGAAAACCCUAAGCUUAACUUGGGGACUGCAUUUCAUACUGGAAAUCUAGAGUGCGGGAGAGGAGAAUGGAAUUCCUAGUGUAGCGGUGAAAUGCGUAGAGAUUAGGAAGAACACCAGUGGCGAAGGCGAUUCUCUGGACCGUAACUGACGCUGAGGCAUGAAAGCGUGGGUAGCAAACAGGAUUAGAUACCCUGGUAGUCCACGCCGUAAACGAUAAGUACUAGGUGUAGGAGGUAUCGACCCCUUCUGUGCCGCAGUUAACACAAUAAGUACUCCGCCUGGGAAGUACGAUCGCAAGAUUAAAACUUAAAGGAAUUGACGGGGUCAUAGCUGUUUCCU